rnacentral:tRNA from 1 species
UCCCUGGUGGCUCAGCUGGGUUAAAGAAUCUGCCUAUAAUGCGGGAGACCUGGGUUCGAUCCCAGGCUUGGGAA